CUUGCCAGUGCUAUUUGAUGCCCUGUUGAACUUUAGCCAAACUUCAUUUUAUAAUGUUCUCUCAGUCCUGAGCAUAUAUAAUAUAUUUUAAUGAAAUUACGCUUCUGUAUUGACUGGCAGACAUCAGAAACAAAUUCACAUAGGUCAAAAGCAGUUGAGCUAAGUGUUGGAUGGGAGGAACUAUUAAAACAGUACAGGAAAAAUAUUUGGAAACAAAACAAAACUUUAAAAUAAAAUAACCCAAAUAAACAAUUCUCUCUCUCUCUCUCUCUCACACACACACACACACACACACACACACGCACAGAACUUGGAUGGUGGCUAUUGGGAGUUAAUGUAUAAUUCUGAUAAUUUGUGUAUUUCUUCAUUAUAUUAAACUUGGAAUUUAUAUUUUUGACAUUAUUCCAAAGGUGUAAUAAUUGACUUUUAAAAUAGUAAAAUAGAAUAACAUUGUAAUGGGAUCAUAUUAAGCAUAUAUUAAACGUAACACAGAUAAGCAUUGAGUCUACCUAAAGUGGUAUUUUUUUUUAAAUUUUGUGGCUACUCAGGGGUUUUGCGUUAUAUUAUCAAAAGCUAACAACCUUAAGGCCAUUUGUGGUAAUUCAAAAUAUGUUCAAGCAUCUAUGCUUGAUGGCUAAGCUUAUAUCUAACAGUGGAAUAACUGCAAGGCAGGAAUUGGCUUGAAAAAGCAAAUAUUGGCUGUGUAUUUCAAAUAUCUUUUCUAGAAUGGAACACUUUGGUUGAUAGAUUGACCUAUCUUGUUUACAUCCAAUAUGUGUACCCCAGUAUAAAACUUAAAAAAUGGCAAUUUCUCAUGAUAUUUUAGUUAUAAGUCUAGAAAUAUCAACCUUGACAUUUGGUUUAAUAAGCUUCUGCCACUUAUUCCUAGAUCAGUAUUUUUCAAUUGACAAAUAAGUUUUCUUUGCGAUCUACCAAAACCAGGUUGUCACAUUCUUUUAGUUGUUACCUGGACAGACUGCUUUUAUUGCUCAUUAAUCAGAUGCUGUGGUUAAGGUGUGUCUAUUAAAUAACUACUUAGGGAUGUAUCGUCAUUCUGUUUGUUUAUUUAAGAAAACAAAUUUUUGUUUUGGUGUAAUUUCUAAAUAAAAUAUAUUCAUGGUAAUGUGGAUAAUUGACAUUAUUUAUACAAAUCAUUUGGAAUUGAGUACCUUGUUAACUGUGUAAUAAGUAUGGUUAUAAAAAGAGAAUAAGUAUCAUAACAUUUUUGCCUAUAUACACUUUUAAAUAUUUAUCAGGAUCUACAUUUUUCUUAAACUGUUAAUUUGGAUGUGUUGAAAUGUAGCCUAUAAAUUUCUUUUUAAGUAAUUGUUACUAAAAAACCUUAUGGAUCUUCACAUGUCUGGUUCCAAUUAAUCAGCUUAGACUAAUGGAUAAAAUAAUAAACCUGAUUUAGUCAAUCUGGA
rnacentral:lncRNA from 1 species